GCACUGCUGAGGAGUCCCAUAAUAGGACGAAAUGGUCGUCCAGUGC
rfam:Schistosoma mansoni strain Puerto Rico chromosome 2, complete genome